AGCUCUUGCCCUUGCUCCUUCGCCUGCUUGCUGCAUGAGACUGAGUAACUGCUAGAUCCUUGGACUUCCAUUCACAGCUGCGACUGAACCAUUGUUGGGAAUUGGGCUGCCGACUAAUGUUCUCCAGCAUCACCUACUUACGGAUUGAGAGCAUGUUGUUCAACCUUUACAUCCUCUGUGAAGAUACCGAGUCAGACCAGGUGUUCUUGAGAGUUCUUGCAGCAUUAACCAUCCAGCACAGUUCUCACCCAGGCACACAGAUGUCAUAAGGGUUAGGUGGCACCAGCCUCACAUCAAAUAGUCCCUUAAGUACAUGCACCAGAGUUGAACAAUCUUUAUAAACACAGGAUGGAAAAGGUCCAGAGAGGAGAGAGAAGAAGGUAAGAACUUGGGCAAAGCAGGAAAAGCUCACAAAAAUACACAAAAUAUACAAAAUAUUUACUACACAGAUCAUGUCUGAUAGAGACAUUUCUCCAAAGCCAGGUCAUGUAGAUGUUUGGUAGGUCAAUGCUUCAGCUGGUCUUCUGUAGAAGUAAGUUCCAAUAGAUGUGUUGGCAAGUAAAUGCUAGCAAAUGAAGAGUGAAUCUUCCUUCUUCUGAUGUCCUUAUGUAAUUCUCCAGUGGAAGGUGUGGCCCAGACUAAAGGUAUGAGCCACCAUGCUUGGAUCUGGGACUUGUUUUGUCCCAGGCUGACCUUGAACUCAGAGAUUUCCUUGCCAUAGUUUCCUGGGAUUAAAGGUGUGUACUAUCUUUCCCAUGCCUAAACUUUUAAUGCAAACUAUGCCUCAAGAUCUCCAUGCCAAGAUCCCAGGUCAGAAAUUUGUGUCUUGCCGGGCGUGGUGGUGCACGCCUUUAAUCCCAGCACUUGGGAGGCAGAGGCAGGCGAAUUUCUGAGUUUGAGGCCAGCCUGGUCUACAAAGUGAGUUCCAGGACAGCAGAGCUACACAGAGAAACCCUGUCUCGAAAAACAACAACAACAACAACAACAACAACAACAACAACAACAACAACAACAAAAGAAAUUUGUGUCUUCCAGUCUCAAGAUCUGGAUCACAGCUGGAAUACUUUCCCUCAAUCAUCUUUGCUCUGUGUGUGAUCUGGCACAGCUCAAGACAGUAACUUCAGUUCUGAAUACUGAUAGCACUGUAUAAGGGAAGUGUAAUACCAUCUACAGAUGAGGAAGCACAGCUGACUGUCUUCACGUCCCCCAGAUCACAGGUCCACACAGAACCCUUUUGACAGAAUUCAAGGGAGGCAGAAAUUUCAACCACUGAAAAACCAAACCAAACCAAAAUCCAAAACAUGGGUUCCACCCUAGCCAGCCACCUUCAAGAACCACAGGUCUUCAUAAACUAUUUCUGGCUAAUGAGGACUGUGUUUACAGCUGAGUGGCAAGAUCUACUAAUGAGUUGUGAAAUUGUGGGAAGCCGCAAACUCCAUUACAAGGUGGCGCUGGCUACCACUGGCCACCGCCCAUGAUUAUGGAUAAACAACCAAUGUGUGCAUGUGCAUAAGAGUUUUUUUGCCGAGUCACUGCCUGGCCCGACGCAUAUUAAUGAGGUACUGGUAGCAUAACCAAUCAGGUAUGGACACGUCACUCCUAGGCCUAUAUAAGCAGCACCAUUUCUGGGCUCAGGGUCUUUCGCCUAUGCAGUCAAUGCUCUCCCAAUAAAUGUGUGCAGAAGGAUCC
rnacentral:lncRNA from 1 species